rnacentral:rRNA from 1 species
UAGAGUUUGAUCCUGGCUCAGAUUGAACGCUGGCGGCAGGCCUAACACAUGCAAGUCGAACGGUAACAGGAAGAAGCUUGCUUCUUUGCUGAAGAGUGGCGGACGGGUGAGUAAUGUCUGGGAAACUGCCUGAUGGAGCGGGGAUAACUACUGGAACGGUAGCUAAUACCGCAUAACGUCGCAAGACCAAAGAGGGGGACCUUCGGGCCUCUUGCCAUCGGAUGUGCCCAGAUGGGAUUAGUAGUAGGUGGGGUACGGCUCAC